CUUACCUUUCAACCAAAAAACACCGUCGUGAAAUAAGAUACAAUCCGGAACGAAGUGCACCAAAAAUCGUGAUGCAGGAGCCAAAAGAAAGUAAGAAACCAAUUCUAGCAAAUUAAUUGCUAGCAGGCUAACAAAUUACAAAAUGGGAAAUGCGCGCAAACACCAGUGUGCCAAACAUGUGCCAGGUUCGAGAAUUCCUUGGCGACAGCUCUAGAAUUCCUUAGUUUUCCGUAUAAAAUCCUUGAAA